rnacentral:lncRNA from 1 species
AAUGGCGUUGAUGCAACUAAUUAGUAACCGUCCAGAGACACCGUACUUCCGGCCACCACCCUUGCAUGUCUGUGUGUUAAAAAUCUGUGAACAGCCAAGGGUGAUUAGUUGGGAUGUAAAGGAGGGAGUGGCAAAACCUGUCAGUAAAAAGUUUAAUAAGGUGGCAGCCAUUUCUGAUGGCGAGACAGUAGUUAAGGUGACUUUGUAUGAGGCGUUUGUGUCAAAAGUGCAGCAGGGGUUUUCGUACAUUAUGAAAGGGCAUGAGCUAAGAGGGACAGCUCCCCCUUAUGCUAUUCAUAUUAGUGCUUCGACACAAUUCUUCAAGUCGUCUGCCCUUUCUGUGGCACAAGAGCUUUUUUCCAAAGCAGAGGAGCUUUUGCAUCCCCCGGCUCCUUUGAUCAACCUUAAAAUGAGCUCCACAAAUGUGGGGCUCAUAACAGUAGAGGGGGAGGUUGUGGAGUGUUUGUCCACCAGGAAAGUGCUGUCAGGGAAACAAGGAGUUCCCAUCAAACAUUUGCAGCUAAAACAGGAUGGUUAUACCAUGAGAGUGUGUUUGUGGAGGGAGGCGGCCAUUCAUGAGCUUCACGUGGGAGACCACAUAAAGGUGUCACAUGUUAAGGUGAAGCAGUCAGCUUUUGGAUUAGAGCUGCACACGACGGUAUUUACAAAGAUUGAGACAACUGAAGAGGAACGUGCCCAAGUAAAUGUCAUCGGCGUUACCACUACCAAUAAUUCCAACCAGCUAGAGGUACUCUUUGAGGGUGGAGAGAGCCUGUAUAUUGAAGCAGAGAUGUGGCAGCCAUUUGACAAAGACCUGGAAAAGGCCAUGGUCUGUGUCAACAUAAAAGUGAAAGGCAGGCAUAUUUCAGAGAUGGAAAAAAACUCAGCGUGAAUAGUUUGUGUUUGUGGUAUGGAAAAUGUUCAUGAUGUAAAAAGUUAAAGGUUUCAAAUGUUAUUGUUCAUAUGGAAAAAAAAGUUUAAAUAAAGAGUUGGAAAAGUAUAAAACGGUGUUGUUAAUGAAAUUGCAACUAAAAAGCAUUGUUAUUAGUUGUACUCCAGGCUGUUGGCAACAGCUCUCCAUCUGAAUUGUCAAUAUGGC